CGCAUCUGUGCAUGCAGCAUAUCAAUAAGCGGAGGAAAAGAAACUAACAAGGAUUCCCUUAGUAACGGCGAGUGAAGCGGGAAGAGCUCAAAUUUGAAAUCUUCAAGGUUUUACCUUGACGAAUUGUAGUUUAAAGAAGUGUUUUCUGUUGAAGUUUUGGUAAAAGUUCUUUGGAAUAGGACAUCAUAGAGGGUGAGAAUCCCGUAUUUGACCAUUAUUUUCAGCUGUGUGAUACACUUUCAAAGAGUCGGAUUGUUUGGGAAUGCAGUCCAAAAUGGGUGGUAAAAUUUCAUCUAAAGCUAAAUAUUGGCGAGAGACCGAUAGCGAACAAGUACCGUGAGGGAAAGAUGAAAAGAACUUUGAAAAGAGAGUUAAACAGUACGUGAAAUUGUCAAAAGGGAAGCGUUUGACACCAGUGUUGUUUUCUCGAAAAUCAAUUAAAAAGAGUUUAGAUUUUGUUGUGUAUUGACCUUAACAGCUUGCAUUUCAAUUUUCUUGCUUUUUUUAAUGCACUUUUCGUUUAACAAGUCAACAUCAGUUUCUUUUGUUGUAAAAAGGUCAUUGGAAGGUGGCUUUCUUUUCGGAGAAAGUGUUUAUAGCCUUUGACUCCUGCAAUCGGAGAGACUGAGGUCUGCAGCGUAGAUCCUUCGGGGUUAGAUACAUUUGUGCUAAGUUAUAGCUUUUUAUAGACAACUUGUUGACUAUGAUUAGUCUUGUAGCUUACUCGCUUACUGCUAUUUUACCUACGCUUAGGAUGUUGACACACGCGCGUGCUCG
rnacentral:rRNA from 1 species